rnacentral:rRNA from 1 species
GGCUCAGGAUGAACGCUAGCGGCAGGCUUAACACAUGCAAGUCGUGGGGCAGCGCGAGGUAGCAAUACGUUUGGCGGCGACCGGCAAACGGGUGCGGAACACGUACGCAACCUUCCUCAGAGCGGGGAAUAGCCUCUCGAAAGAGAGAUUAAUACCCCAUAGUAUCUCGAAACUGCAUGGUUUGAGAUUAAAGCUUCGGCACUUUGAGAUGGGCGUGCGGCUGAUUAGGUAGUUGGUAGGGUAACGGCCUACCAAGCCAACGAUCAGUAGCUGAUGUGAGAGCAUGAUCAGCCACACGGGCACUGAGACACGGGCCCGACUCCUACGGGAGGCAGCAGUGAGGAAUAUUGGUCAAUGGAGGAAACUCUGAACCAGCCAUGCCGCGUGGAGGAUGAAGGUCCUCUGGAUUGUAAACUUCUUUUAUAGAAGAAGAAACCCCAUUAUUCUUAAUGGGUUGACGGUACUCUAUGAAUAAGCACCGGCUAACUCCGUG